rnacentral:rRNA from 1 species
UGUGGACUAUUGCACAAUGGGCGCAAGCCUGAUGCAGCCAUGCCGCGUGUAUGAAGAAGGCCUUCGGGUUGUAAAGUACUUUCAGUCGGGAGGAAGGUGUCAAGGUUAAUAACCUUGGCAAUUGACGUUACCGACAGAAGAAGCACCGGCUAACUCCGUGCCAGCAGCCGCGGUAAUACGGAGGGUGCAAGCGUUAAUCGGAAUUACUGGGCGUAAAGCGCACGCAGGCGGUUGAUUGAGUCAGAUGUGAAAUCCCCGGGCUUAACCCGGGAAUUGCAUCUGAUACUGGUCAGCUAGAGUCUUGUAGAGGGGGGUAGAAUUCCAUGUGUAGCGGUGAAAUGCGUAGAGAUGUGGAGGAAUACCGGUGGCGAAGGCGGCCCCCUGGACAAAGACUGACGCUCAGGUGCGAAAGCGUGGGGAGCAAACAGG